rnacentral:hammerhead_ribozyme from 1 species
ACCAGCUGACGAGUCCCAAAUGGGACGAAACGCGCGUCCUGAAU